UACGUAGGGCGCAAGCGUUGUCCGGAAUUAUUGGGCGUAAAGAGCUCGUAGGCGGUUUGUCGCGUCUGCUGUGAAAACCUAAGGCUCAACCUUGGGCUUGCAGUGGGUACGGGCAGACUAGAGUGCGGUAGGGGUGACUGGAAUUCCUGGUGUAGCGGUGGAAUGCGCAGAUAUCAGGAGGAACACCGAUGGCGAAGGCAGGUCACUGGGCCGCAACUGACGCUGGAGGAGCGAAAAGCAUGGGGGAGCGAACAGG
rnacentral:rRNA from 1 species